rnacentral:rRNA from 1 species
AUUGAACGCUGGCGGCAGGCCUAACACAUGCAAGUCGAACGAGUGGCGGACGGGUGAGGAAUGUCUGGGAAACUGCCCGAUGGAGGGGGAUAACUACUGGAAACGGUAGCUAAUACCGCAUACCAUCGGAUGUGCCCAGAUGGGAUUAGCUAGUAGGUGGGGUAAAGGCUCACCUAGGCGACGAUCCCUAGCUGGUCUGAGCGGAUGACCAGCGACACGGGAACUGGGACACGGUCCAUGCUCCUACGGGAUGCACCAGUGGGGAAUAUGGGACAAUGGGCGCAAGCCUGAUGCAGCCAGGCCGCGUGUAUGAAGAAGGCCUUCGGGUUGUAAAGUAUGUUCAGCGGGGAGGCGGUACCCGCAGAAGAAGCACCGGCUAACUCCGUGCCAGCAGCCGCGGUAAUUC